rnacentral:rRNA from 1 species
UGGGUGAUCUGCCCUGCACUUCGGGAUAAGCCUGGGAAACUGGGUCUAAUACCGGAUAUACCUCAUUGGUCGCCUGGCUGGUGGGGGAAAGCUUUUGCGGUGUGGGAUGGGCCCGCGGCCUAUCAGCUUGUUGGUGAGGUUACGGCUCACCAAGGCGUCGACGGGUAGCCGGCCUGAGAGGGCGACCGGCCACACUGGGACUGAGACACGGCCCAGACUCCUACGGGAGGCAG